rnacentral:lncRNA from 1 species
AACAACAGCAACAACAACAACAACAACAAAAACGACGACAAUGAUGUCGACGACAACAACAACGGCAAUAGCGACAACAACGACAACGAUGAGAACAAUGCCAACAACGACAACUACGACAACAACAACAACAACAACAACAAGAAAAACAACAACAACAACAACAACAACAACGAGAACAACAACAACAACAACAACAACAACGAGAACCACGACUACAACGACAACAACGACUACAACAAAAACAGCGACAACAACAACAACAACAACAACAACAACAAC